GAUGAACGCUGGCGGCGUGCCUAAUACAUGCAAGUCGAGCGAACAGACGAGGCGCUUGCUCCUCUGACGUUAACGGCGUACGGGUUAGUAACACGUGGAUCACCUCCCUAUAAGACUCUGCUAACUUCGGUAACCCGUACCUAAUACCGUCUAUUAUUUUGAACCGCAUGUUUCAAUAUUUCAAGCGGUUUUUGCUUUCACUUUUAGAUUAAUCCGCUCCUCAUUAGCUAGUUGGUAAGGUAACGGCUUACCAAGGCAACGAUGCGUAGCCGACCUGAGAGGAUGAUCGGCCACACUGGAACUGAGACACGGUCCAGACUCCUACGGGAGGCAGCAGUAGGGAAUCUUCCGCAAUGGGCGAAAGCCUGACGGAGCAACGCCGCGUGAGUGAUGAAGGUCUUCGGAUCGUAAAAUGCUGUUAUUAGGGAAGAAAAAAUGUGUAAGAAACUAUGCACGUAUUGACGGUACCGAAUCAGAAAGCCACGGCUAACUACGUG
rnacentral:rRNA from 1 species